rnacentral:rRNA from 1 species
UACGUAGGGGGCUAGCGUUGUCCGGAAUCAUUGGGCGUAAAGCGCGUGUAGGCGGCCCGGUAAGUCCGCUGUGAAAGUCGGGGGCUCAACCCUCGGAUGCCGGUGGAUACUGUCGGGCUCGAGUACGGAAGAGGCGAGUGGAAUUCCUGGUGUAGCGGUGAAAUGCGCAGAUAUCAGGAGGAACACCUAUUGCGAAGGCAGCUCGCUGGGACGUCACUGACGCUGAGACGCGAAAGCAUGGGGAGCAAACAGG